UCAUGUGACUUAUGAGGAAUUACCAGCUGGAACUACUCACACAACGUUCCUUGUCAGCCGAUAUCUUGGGAAAUGGAUUAAAGCAGACAGAUACAAGUAUAUAACAAGAUGAGAUGCAGCUCACUUUCCAUAAUUUCAUGUGCUUCAUAUAGUGUCUGGACAGCAGUGUGGUACAGUCGGUCGUGUGGGCAGUACAAGGCCUGGUGUUAAUAGAGCAGAAAAUGAGUUCUUCAUUGAUCGUGGUAAUCGUGCUGGAUGUGCUGGGAUGAUCACCUCACUCUCUUACUGUUUCCAUCAACCACCAUUGGCACCUACGACAGGAGCUACUACUAUGGAAGCAACUACUGUAACCAUGGAAUCAACUACAAUAGAAGUAACUACACCUUCCACAAUUACAACUGAACCAACUGAGGACACCACCUCCGUCGAAGACUUCACGACAGACAUAACCACAGCAGGUGGUUCACUGAUUACUGAUGGGGACUCUGCUACAGCAACCACAAACCGAAGGACAACGAGCAACUCUGAUGCCACCACUGCACAACCCAUUGGUGGUGGGGGAGGUGGUUCUAAUGUAGCAACCAUUGCUGUGGUAGUUGUGUUCAUUGUUGUGAUCAUUGCUUUAUAGUCGCCAUGCAUACUAAUACUUGUGUUGUUAAGGAGACGAUCGAAAGCAUUGCACUCAAUAAACAACAAUGAAGUACAUGACACAUCUGGGAAAGAAACUGCUGUUGACUUGAAGUCCAACGAAGCUUACGGUAUUCAUGGUGAGCCUCGAGACACUCCCACAGACUAUGACAAUGUUUUUGAUGAAUGCAUUGUUGACUCGCCUAGUCAGCAAUUCCAAAUUUUUUAGCAACCCAAUAUAGAUGUCUGCCAUCUGUAAUGCUUUUAUUUCUGAAACUCAAUUAAUUCUUACGUUGUUUGUGUACGCACCAAAACAACCUCGCUCUAUUAAUCUAAAGUCCAAUGAGGCUUACGGUGUUCACGGCAAGACUCGAGACACUCCCACAAACUACUACGAUAUUGUUCUUGACGAAUCAAAAGUAGAAGAUGCAAAGGAGCCUCUUCAUGAUAAUGUCACAGAAGCUUCUCAACAACCCAUUGAUGUGACUUAUGACGAAGUACCAGGACCUAUAUACACUACAAUGAUCCCAGUCAGCCAAUACCUUUGGAAAACAAAGAAGCUUACAAUGUCCACGUCCACAAAUCUGAAACUACAGAAAUGUUGGGUGAAACAUGCUCGCAACAAGUUGACUUGAAGUCCAAUGAGGCGUAUGGUGUGAGAGGGGAGGUGCAAGUUGCUACCAUUAAUGGGACCACUGAUGCAGUGUACUAUAGUGUCAUUGACUCGCCUGGUCAGCAAUCUGUAUAGAGACAACCAGUGGAGCUGAAAUUCAAAAGGCAGCAAAGAGGAAUGCAGAGGCAUAAUUAUUAUGGAAACUGUUGAUAUUACUAUUCCUUGAAUCACUGUAUACAUUGUGUAUACAGUGAUUGCCUGAUAUUUUAGUGCAACUAGUCAUUAUUGUGGUUUGUUUGAGCUGUAGGAGACCAACAUAAAAAAUGAACAAAUGAAAGCACCGCAGGUGCUGAUGCCUCGGUGGAGGUGCCAAAGCUACAUAACAUAAAACUACUACUUUUAUACACACAUUGAUUAUUAAUAUCAUGAUGAACAUCUUUUAUUUUGCUGCAUGCAAUCAACCGAAUAGUGGGUAAUGAUCGACCAUGAUUGUUGUUAAAAACGAUCGAUGCCAAAAGUUCAAGUCUAAAAUUAAUGGCUGCAAGUCAGCAGAGCCUUGCAGCUCUCUGCUCACUCUUGCAGCUACCAAUAGCUAACGUUCUAGUGCAGAGCUAACUACUAAGUAGAGUAGUAACACUCAGUGAACAAGUUUUGCUACGGACUCUUCUGAAAAGGCUGCAAUGGCAUUCCAAGUAAGCAAAACUAGGCAUAACUCGAGAACGAAGCAUUAUUUUACAAAUCCACGAAUUCAAAUCCAAGUAAACAUGACUAGAAGCCUAUAGAAACUCUUACUUGCACUUGAUUCAUCCUUGAGCAGCUGUAGCGGUCUACACAGACACACAGACACACAAACACACUACCGUAUACCUCGCUUGCGCAUGCACACCGAGGGAUAAUUAUUAUAGCUAUAUAUUUCAGACACAGUCUACUAGACUGAGGCAACUUUAGUUUUUAUGUAAACUGACUGAUACAAGUAGGAUGAGAUGCAGCACACUGUUUCAAUGAUAUAUCUACAUUGGGCUUAUAAGUGUCUGCUAUACGUAUGUUGAUUCUGCAGGAGCUUUUAAGGAACAUUUUGAAGUACACCUAGAAUACGAUUAUUUUUCUAUAUCUAGUUUACUCCUUGGUUGACAGCAGCUCUAAGUGUUCAUCUCCAGCAUACUCUACAGUAGCACUCUGAUCUAGAUUAUGAAACUUAAAAUCACUGCAUUGUAUCAUGAUUCUUACAGCAAGAUGUCCGACUCUGUUUGUUACACAAACUGCAUGAGGUAAUUUUAUUUAACAGGAAAUUUUGCAUGGUCAGUUUCUGUUAUAAAUGUGACGUACUUGGAGCUUGUGUCAAUAUUAGCCAUUUCUUUCCUGCAUGGAUGGUGUUUAUAACGAUUAUAUGUACGUAUUUAUUAACUGCUUUACUGCAUGUUUCCAUGCAGAAAAAUGUAAGCAAUUAGUCUUAUUCCAGGCCAGGCCUUAAGAGUACUGGAAGCUGGUAAAAGACUCUCUCCACCUCCUGGCUGUUCGAAGAUGAUUUACGAGCUCAUGACCUUCAGUCAUGAGCGUAUGGUGUGA